GCAGUGUGCAGCGGAGCCCUCAGUUGGAUUAGAUACAUGGUGAAAUUUGUGACAAUUUUCGUCCCAUUCUGUGGAAGAUGGUUUUUUCCUUGAUUUUAUGUGAGGAUGGAAAUCAUGAAUCUGCAACUUGAAGAAUUUCCUUCUCCUUGAUUUUGUUCUUUUUAUUUUGUAAUCUUUAUUGUAAAUCCUACUUGUAUUUUUAAUUUGUAAAGCUAACCAAAGUCAUCUCCCUAAGGAGGGGAAACUUUUUUUUUAUUUCUUCUACUUUGUAUUUUUUUUCUUUUCUGGAUAUCGUUUGGUUUGGACUUCAACCUUUUGGUUUUGGUUAUCAAAAUCAAUGUGAACGUUUUGAUUUAGUAACUUGGUGAGAAUAUGCUGCUU